AUACGUAGGGGGCGAGCGUUGUCCGGAAUGAUUGGGCGUAAAGGGCGCGUAGGCGGCCCGGUAAGUCUGGAGUGAAAGUCCUGUUUUUAAGAUGGGAAUUGCUUUGGAUACUGUCGGGCUUGAGUGCAGGAGAGGUAAGUGGAAUUCCCAGUGUAGCGGUGAAAUGCGUAGAGAUUGGGAGGAACACCAGUGGCGAAGGCGACUUACUGGGCCGUAACUGACGCUGAGGCGCGAAAGCGUGGGGAGCGAACAGGAUUAGAUACCCUGGUAGUCCACGCGGUAAACGAUGAAUGCUAGGUGUCGGGUUUCUAUAGAGAUUCGGUGCCGCAGCAAACGCAAUAAGUAUUCCACCUGGGGAGUACGUUCGCAAGAAUGAAACUUAAAGGAAUUGACGGGG
rnacentral:rRNA from 1 species